rnacentral:rRNA from 1 species
GACGAACGCUGGCGGCGUGCCUAAUACAUGCAAGUCGAACGCUUCUUUUUCCACCGGAGCUUGCUCCACCGGAAAAAGAGGAGUGGCGAACGGGUGAGUAACACGUGGGUAACCUGCCCAUCAGAAGGGGAUAACACUUGGAAACAGGUGCUAAUACCGUAUAACAAUCAAAACCGCAUGGUUUUGAUUUGAAAGGCGCUUUCGGGUGUCGCUGAUGGAUGGACCCGCGGUGCAUUAGCUAGUUGGUGAGGUAACGGCUCACCAAGGCCACGGUGCAUAGCCGACCUGGGAGGGUGAUCGGCCCCAUUGGGACUGAGACACGGCCCAAACUCCUACGGGAGGCAGCAGUAGGGAAUCUUCGGCAAUGGACGAAAGUCUGACCGAGCAACGCCGCGUGAGUGAAGAAGGUUUUCGGAUCGUAAAACUCUGUUGUUAGAGAAGAACAAGGAUGAGAGUAACUGUUCAUCCCUUGACGGUAUCUAACCAGAAAGCCACGGCUAACUACGUGCCAGCAGCCGCGGUAA